AAAAACAUGUCCUUUUGAAUUUAAUUUAAGGUCUGACCUGCCCACUGAAUUAUUGAAUGGCCGCAGUACUUUAACUGUGCAAAGGUAGCAUAAUCAUUAGUCUUUUAAUUGAAGGCUUGUAUGAAUGGUUGGACAAGAUAUAUAUUGUUUCAUAUAAAAUUGUAGAAUUUUAUUUUUUAGUAAAAAAGCUAAAAUUUAAUUAAAAGACGAGAAGACCCUAUAGAUCUUUAUAAUUACUGAGUUUUAUUGAUUAAGAAUAGUUUCUAUUUGAUUUAUGUGAUUAUUUUAUUGGGGUGAUAGUAAGAUUGAUUUAACUCUUAUGAUUAAGAUACAUAAAUUAAUGAUUUAUUGAUCCAAUAUUAUUGAUUAAUAAAAUAAGUUACCUUAGGGAUAACAGCGUAAUUUUUUUAGAGAGUUCAUAUCGAUAAAAAAGAUUGCGACCUCGAUGUUGGAUUAAGAGAUAAAUUUGGGCGCAGCCGUUCAAAUUUAAAGUCUGUUCNNNUUUUUAAUUCUUACAUGAUCUGAGUUCCAAAC
rnacentral:rRNA from 1 species